UUUUUAGUUUGGAAAUUUCUCAAAUUGACUUUUAAAAGUGAAUAAUGUUAAUAAUUUGGAACGGAGGGAGUAUAUUAUACAUGUACUUGAGGUAUUGAUGAAACUUUUCCAAGAAACUGAGUCAGCCAAACCUCAUUUGUUUAAACUAUGGCCUGAUAUUGUCAAAUAUGUGGCCGUCCACCUGAUUCCUAGGAAAAACCAGGUGCUCCUAAUAUUAUGCUGCCU
rnacentral:lncRNA from 1 species